rnacentral:rRNA from 1 species
AGUGAACGCUGGCGGCGGGCCUAAUACAUGCAAGUCGAACGGAGUGGCGCACGGGCGAGUAAUUUAUAGCUGGUCUGCUCUACACUAGAGGACAACAGCUGGAGACAACUGCUACUACUCUAUAGUGUAGGAUGAGGCUCUAUUGUAUCAGCUAGUUGGUGAGGUAAUGGCUGACCAAGGCUAUGACGCAUAACUGGUCGGAGAGGAUGAUCAGGCACACGCUAACUGAGACACGGGCCAGACUCCUACGGGAAUGAGCAGGAGCCAAUAGCACUCAAGGGGCGAGACCCAGAAGCAGCUUCGCCUCGUGGAGGAUUACAAGUUGCGGGGCGUAAACUGCUUUUGUUAGGCAAGCGGUACCUAACGAAUAAGCACCGGCUAACUCCGUGCCAGCAGCCGCGGUAAUUC